CGGGAGUAUUCCAGAGUAUCAUAUUUAUAUUUCCCACAGGGAAGCACUAGUAGCAUAGACGAUUGGUAAAUAAAUCCACCGAACGUUACCGCAACUUAACGAACUACAACUCAGCUAGGGUAAGAGUAACGAUUGAUAGGGGUGAUAACUAUGACAUACGAAGACUAUAAAUAAAAGAUAAAUAUGGCGUAGCUAGUGGGGAGGAAACAAGGAGGCGUACGAAUAGGAGGAAAUAGACAGGAGAUUAAUAGGAUGACAUGUCACAUGUGGGUCCGUUAUUCUUUUUUGGUUUUUAUUUAUUGUUCACUUGGCAGCCAUGUCAGUAAACGCAUCGCGGGAUCUCGGCCAAAACAGAAACGCUAUGGGGUGAGAUGGGGUAUGUUUCUGGUACUCUGGUUUUAACAGCUCGAGGGGCAAAUUUGUCUGGCAUCUGAGUUCGGUAGCACGUACCAAUGACACUAUAUCAUGUGGUAAAAGAUCGGUUGGAAAUCACCAGCAAUUAGCAUGUAACUGUAGUUGUUGUUGGAUGAAUUUACCAUAGGUCAGGUCAGUUGGCAAACGCGGUUCAUUGCCACUGCGGCUGCCCAUGAUUCAGCUUCGGCUUUCGCUCCCGCACGUUGCUCACC
rnacentral:lncRNA from 1 species